rnacentral:misc_RNA from 1 species
GAAAUGCGAUAAGUAAUGUGAAUUGCAGAAUUCAGUGAAUCGUCGAAUCUUUGAACGCACCUUGCGCUCCUUGGUAUUCCUUGGAGCAUGCCUGUUUGAGUAUCAUGAAAUCUUCAAAGUAAAUCUUUUGUUAACUCAAUUGGUUUCUACUUUGGUAUUGGAGGUCUUUGCAGCUUCACACCUGCUCCUCUUUGUUCAUUAGCUGGAUCUCAGUGUUAUGCUUGGUUCCACUCGGCGUGAUAAGUUAUCUAUCGCUGAGGACACUGUAAAAGGUGGCCAAGGUAAAUGCAGAUGAACCGCUUCUAAUAGUCCACUGACUUGGACAAUACUUUUAUGAUCUGAUCUCAAAUCAGGUAGGACUACCCGCUGAACUUAAGC